rnacentral:rRNA from 1 species
UCCAGACUCCUACGGGAGGCAGCAGUGGGGGAUAUUGCACAAUGGGGGAAACCCUGAUGCAGCGACGCCGCGUGGGUGAAGAAGCGCCUCGGCGCGUAAAGCCCUGUCAGCAGGGAAGAAAAUGACGGUACCUGAAGAAGAAGCCCCGGCUAACUACGUGCCAGCAGUCGCGGUAAUACGUAGGGGGCAAGCGUUAUCCGGAUUUACUGGGUGUAAAGGGGGCGCAGACGGCGAUGCAAGCCAGGAGUGAAAGCCCGGGGCCCAACUGCGGGACUGCUUUGGAAACUGCCCGGCUAGAGUGCUGGAGAGGUAAGCGGAAUUCCUAGUGUAGCGGUGAAAUGCGUAGAUAUUAGGAGGAACACCAGUGGCGAAGGCGGCUUACUGGACAGUAACUGACGUUGAGGCUCGAAAGCGUGGGGAGCAAACAGGAUUAGAUACCCUUGUA